rnacentral:rRNA from 1 species
UACGUAGGGGGCUAGCGUUGUCCGGAAUCAUUGGGCGUAAAGCGCGUGUAGGCGGCCCGAUAAGUCCGCCGUGAAAGUCCAGGGCUCAACCCUGGAAUGCCGGUGGAAACUGUCGGGCUCGAGUCCGGAAGAGGCGAGUGGAAUUCCUGGUGUAGCGGUGAAAUGCGCAGAUAUCAGGAGGAACACCAAUGGCGAAGGCAGCUCGCUGGGACGGUACUGACGCUGAGACGCGAAAGCGUGGGGAGCAAACAGG